rnacentral:tRNA from 2 species
GGCCGGAUAGCCAAGCGGUUAGGCAGAGGAUUGCAAAUCCUUGUAGCCCGGUUCGACUCCGGGUCCGGCCUCCA